AAUGAACGUUGGCGGCGUGGAUUAGGCAUGCAAGUCGAGCGCGAACCGUAGCAAUACGGGGAGAGCGGCGAAAGGGAGAGGAAUACGUGGAUACCUACCCUCAGGUUCAGGAUAGCUAUGGGAAACUAUAGGUAAUACUGAAUAAUAUCUCCGGAUCAAAGGUGUGAUUCCACCUGAGGAGGGGUCCGCGUCCUAUUAGCUAGUUGGUGAGGUAACGGCUCACCAAGGCGAAGAUGGGUACGGGAUGUGAGAGCAUGAUCCCGCUCACUGGGACUGAGACACUGCCCAGACACCUACGGGUGGCUGCAGUCGAGAAUCUUCGGCAAUGGGGGAAACCCUGACCGAGCGACGCCGCGUGCGAGAUGAAGGCCU
rnacentral:rRNA from 1 species